rnacentral:ncRNA from 1 species
CGUCUUCGGGGCAGGGUGACCGCUUUGCGGGAUUCCCGACCGGCGGUAAAGUCCGCGAGCCUUCGGGCCGAAUCGGUGAGAUUCCGAUACCGACAGUACAGUCUGGAUGAGAGAAGGG